AAAUUGACUACCGGUUCUGCCAAAUUGGUGUGAACUGGCUGAAUCACUAUAUUUGGAUGUGUUGUAGGGCAAAAUGGUGGAUACAGGGAAGUUCUUUUUUUAUUUUGGAGACCCAGGUGUUGGAUAAUACACAGUCUUGUAGAUUCUUCAGGCUUAUACACAGUUCUGUUUUAAGAGCUCUUCUGGAUCCUAGAUUAGAUGCAUUUUGAUUUAUUUUUCCUGGUAGAUUUCCAUCACUGUGAGAAAGCUAUGAAUGCCAAAGGCUCUGAUCUCCAUGUCUGCCAGAGGUAUAAAUAACUAUACUCAUCGCUGUGCCCUUCUUUUUCGAACUGCAGAAUAAGGUAUCUGCUUCCAGUUUCUUGACAUGUGAUCAUUCUGAGGCCUUAUGUCAUAUAUAUCAUUUCUGUCUGAGUCCUCCUUUUAUCAACGUCAAAAGGAUGGAAGGCUGAGUCAACCUUGAUCCCGGCAGGAUCAAAUUCCAGGCUGGGAGCAGAGAUAACCUGCAAUACUGCAUUCUAACUGCUGCACCACCAGGACUUAAAAGGAAGAAAUCCUCUGCAACCAUCCACAGAGACUUUAUAUCCAUCCAAGGAUAGACCAUGUUUUUGAGUUCAUAUUUGGUAUUUUGAGAGCAAGUGGUAAAUAUACUCUGAAAACAUCCUCCGCGUGAGACUUCUCCAUUUCCAAAAUGGCCUUGGCUAUUCACAAAACACCCCAUUAUUAAAGGUAAUGAAGCCAGGUAAGACUGCCAUGCUAAUGGGAUUUUUUUGAUUCCCAACAGCACUGCUAUAAAUAAACCUGAACCUAUAGGAUUUUUUUUUUAGCUAUACAGCAUGCCAGUUCCUUACUUAUUUCUUUUAUUCCAAGGACCUUGUGGGUGUGGAACAGAUGAAGAAAUGGAAUCUUAGGGAAUCCCAUUGUCCAUCCACAUUCCAAUAUUCAUGGGUGACAUAGUGGGACCCUAGACCUUGUUGAUGAUAUAUCAAAAGCUGGGGUCUGAGGGUAUAGAUAGAGAU